rnacentral:rRNA from 1 species
AUUGAACGCUGGCGGCAUGCCUUACACAUGCAAGUCGAACGGCAGCAUGAUCUAGCUUGCUAGAUUGAUUGCGAGUGGCGAACGUGUGAGUAAUACAUCGGAACUUGCCCUGUGGUUGGGGAUAACUAGUCGAAAGAUUAGCUAAUACCGCAUACGACCUGAGGGUGAAAGUUGGGGACCGCAAGGCCUCAUUCUAUAGGCUCGUCCGUUGUCUGAUUAGCUAGUUGGUGAGGUAAAGGCUCACCAAGGCGACGAUCAGUAGCUGGUCUGAGAGGACGAUCAGCCACACUGGAACUGAGACACGGCCCAGACUCCUACGGGAGGCAGCAGUGGGGAAUUUUGGGCAAUGGGCGAAAGCCUGAUCCAGCAAUGCCGCGUGUGUGAAGAAGGCCUUCGGGUUGUAAAGCACUUUUGUCAGGAAAGAAAUGGCUCUGGUUAAUACGUGCGGUCGAUGACGGUACCGGAAGAAUAAGGACCGGCUAACUACGUG